UAGCCUAGGCCGGGCAGGGCUGGGCCAAAAGACCAGGCGGCCGGCAGAGUCUGGCCUCAGAGAGGCGCCGCCAUCUUCAGGUCACUGAGAUUCCAGUCCCGCAGCCUUGGUGUGACGUGUUGGUGCUCAUCAUCUUGUAUGGCAACCCCAUCCCCGUCAGUCUGCUGGUCACUCUGGCAAUUGUGAAAUAUAUUCAGGCCCAGUUGAUAAACUGGCUCUUGACACCAGAGGUGGGGGGAACGGUCCCCCCACCCUGCCGCGGGGAGGGUCUCGCGGGGCAACGACCGCAAAGGCGGGCGAGGGCUGCCCGCUGAGUCACGGGGACCCCGACCCAGGACGCCAGGAGGCCGAGGGCUGGGGCGCAGCGAGGUCACCGGACACCCCGCACCCCGCCCCUCCCAGCAGCCGCGGGCGGAGGAGAGAGGCGCCGCGGGCAGAGCGGGAAGAGCCGCCAUCAGCCGGCACGGCCGGUCCCUCGCCUGGCGCGAGGUCAACGCCCGGAGAGCGUGACGUCACCGCGUCCGUCUGCGUCCUGGGUUUAACCUCUCU